GAAGAAUGGUGUUGCAUAGACCUCAUAGACUGAAAAUCGAUUCCUUGAUGCUGUUUCUAUAUUCAGAAUAUUUCGUUUUGAUAUAUCGAUCAGAUGCUCAUUUGGAUCAAAGUACAAGUAGUCUUAAUUUGGCUUUCAACCUUCAGAGCAUCACUACUGCUCGUUGCUUCAAGCAGAUCUCUCGAAAUAAAGUUCCGCCCAAUGCCUCCAGCUACAAUUUCAUCUUCACGAGGUGGUACCGAGUUCAACGUGAAUGCCUUGAAAAAUAUCAUUAAGUGUUGCCUCACCUCAAUCCCUCAAGAAAGAACAAAGUAUGUGUGACCUCUAAGAGUACUACUACGUAUGUAGUACGAGUAGUAUAUGAUAAGUUCAGAGAUUACCAAUCCAUGACUGUUAAAGCCAAAUGCACAGCUUGGAAGCUCCCCGGCGUAUGUAUAUGCUGUGAAGGAAAGUCCAUUGCCUAAAUUCGCUUGG